rnacentral:rRNA from 1 species
CUGCCCGUGGGCUGGGGACAACAGUUGGAAACGGCUGCUAAUACCCAAUAAGCCGCAAGGUAGAAGAUUAAUUACCCACAGAGGAGCUCGCGUCUGAUUAGCUAGUUGGUGUGGUAAGAGCGCACCAAGGCGACGAUCAGUAGCUGGUCUGAGAGGAUGAGCAGCCACACUGGGACUGAGACACGGCCCAGACUCCUACGGGAGGCAGCAGUGGGGAAUUUUCCGCAAUGGGCGAAAGCCUGACGGAGCAACGCCGCGUGAGGGAGGAAGGCCUUUGGGUUGUAAACCUCUUUUGCUGGGGAAGGAGACAAUGACGGUACCCAGCGAAUCAGCCUCGGCUAACUCCGUGCCAGCAGCCGCGGUAAUACGGAGGAGGCAAGCGUUAUCCGGAAUUAUUGGGCGUAAAGCGUCCGCAGGUGGCUGCUCAAGUCUGCUGUUAAAGCCUGGUGCUCAACACCAUCCCGGCAGUGGAAACUGAGAAGCUAGAGUCCGGUAGGGGUAGCGGGAAUUCCCAGUGUAGCGGUGAAAUGCGUAGAGAUUGGGAAGAACAUCGGUGGCGAAGGCGCGCUACUGGGCCGGCACUGACACUCAAGGACGAAAGCUAGGGGAGCGAAAGGGAUUAGAUACCCCUGUAGUC